CCUUACAUCAUGAGCCUCACACAAGUGCCC
rnacentral:piRNA from 1 species